ensembl:snRNA U6 U6 spliceosomal RNA
GCACUCGCUUUGGCGGCACAUACACUAAAAUUGGAACGAUACAGAGAUUAGCAUGGCCCCUGCACAAGGAUGACACACAAAUUCAAGAAGCGUUCAUAUUUUUA